rnacentral:lncRNA from 10 species
GGAUCAGCGACCCACUUGAGGAGGCAGCCUGUCCGUUCUCAGAGCUUGAACACUGUGCUGGGAGAACCACUGCUCUCUUCAGAGCUGUCAGACAGGGACGUUUAAGUCUGCAGAAGUUGUCUGCUGCCUUUUGUUCAGCUAUGCCCUGCCCACAGAAGUGGAGUCUAGAGAGGUGGUAGGCCUUGCUGAGCUGCGGUGGGCUCUGCCCAGUUUGAGCUUCCCUACCUACUUUGUUUACCUACUCAAGCCUCAGCAUUGGCUGACACCCCUCACGCCACCAGGCUGCAGUGUCGUAGGUCGAUCUCAGACUGCUGUGCUAGCAGUGAGCAAGUCUCCAUAGGCGUGGGACCCCCGAGCCAGGCACGGGAGAGAAUCUCCUGGUCUGCCGAUUGGUAAGACCUUGGGAAAAGCACAGUAUGUAGACGGGAGUGUACCAUUCCUCCAGGUACAGUCUGUCAUGGCUUCUCUUGGCUAGGAAAGGGAAAUCCCUGACCCUUUGUGCUUCCCGGGUGAGGCAACACCCCACCCUGCUGUGGCUCGCCCUCCGUGGGCUGCAAUAGGGUCUCCUUUCUAAUUGGCACCCUUUUGUCAAUAAUGUGAGUUCUAUGAGGGCAGAGAUGGUUUUGUUCAUUGCUGUAUUCUCAAAACUUGGAAGAAGCUCUGGUGCAAAGUCCCCGCAUCAGAGGAACACAUUGUUUUCUUGGGAAGCCUUCAAGAGACAGUCAUGCAUGGGUGAGCCUAUACGCAUAUAAAUAUAUGACAUAGGUGAGAAACUGGUGCUCUCAGAGAGCGUAUGAGUGGCCCAAUGUCACACUACCUCUGGGUGUGUGCAUGUGGAGCCAGGAUUUGAUCCUGGGCAGAUCAAACCCCAAGUGCCACCAGGUGCAGUCGAUCACAUGCUGACCCCCCACUUUACUGAUGAGAAAACUGAGACCUAGAGAGGUUGAGUAACCUGUCCAAGACACCUGGAUGAUAAGCCGGACCCAGCCAACAAGCCCAGCCAGCUUGAUGCCAGAAUCCUCUUACCUGACCUCUGUGCCUGCCAUCCCAGCUGCUAGAGUGGAGAGCCGGCCUUUCCUCGCUGCAGGAUGGACCCUAGGCCUCUCUCUGGGUUUCCAGAUCCUGCUCUGAAGAGCCGGCCUUUCCUCGCUGCAGGAUGGACCCUAGGCGUCUCUCUGGGUUUCCAGAUCCUGCUCUGGAGAGCCGGCCUUUCCUCGCUGCAGGAUGGACCCUAGGCGUCUCUCUGGGUUUCCAGAUCCUGCUCUGGAGAGCCGGCCUUUCCUCGCUGCAGGAUGGACCCUAGGCGUCUCUCUGGGUUUCCAGAUCCUGCUCUGGAGAGCCGGCCUUUCCUCGCUGCAGGAUGGACCCUAGGCCUCUCUCUGGGUUUCCAGAUCCUGCUCUGGAGAGCCGGCCUUUCCUCGCUGCAGGAUGGACCCUAGGCGUCUCUCUGGGUUUCCAGAUCCUGCUCUGAAGAUGAGGAGAUGACAUUUAGCACCAGCCUUCUCUAACUGGCUCUAAGAGGAAUCGGUGUUCCCUGGUGGUUCAGGAGUCAAAAGGGCCAACUGUAGCUUUAUUCCUCUUUCAAAGGAAAUAAAGCAGAGGUCCUAUUUGGGGAUAGGCCCUAUGCCUGAGUUACUUUGGCACUUAAUUGCUAUUAUUUAAUUGCUGUAUUGGGGAGCACAAAGUGAUCUACUGCAAAGUUAUUAGCAAAUUCUAGUUUUAAGGAAAUAAUUACUGAAUUCUCCCUCCCUGGGUUGAGUAAUUCCUUCCAAGAUGCUCAGCGACAUUAAGCAUUUUCACUAGGGCCACUAGCAGCUCUGUAAUAUGCAAAUAAAGUAACUCUGUAAUUACCAAUAAAAUGCUUACUGAAG